rnacentral:rRNA from 1 species
GGCGCACGGGUGAGUAACGCGUAUGCAACCUACCUUAUACAGGGGAAUAGCCCGAAGAAAUUCGGAUUAAUGCUCCAUGGUUUAUCGAUAUGGCAUCGUAUUGAUAAUAAAGAUUUAUCGGUAUAAGAUGGGCAUGCGUAUCAUUAGCUAGUUGGUGUGGUAACGGCAUACCAAGGCAACGAUGAUUAGGGGUCCUGAGAGGGAGAUCCCCCACACUGGUACUGAGACACGGACCAGACUCCUACGGGAGGCAGCAGUGAGGAAUAUUGGUCAAUGGAGGCAACUCUGAACCAGCCAUGCCGCGUGCAGGAUGACGGUCCUAUGGAUUGUAAACUGCUUUUGUACAGGAAGAAACCUCCCUACGAGUAGGGACUUGACGGUACUGUAAGAAUAAGGAUCGGCUAACUCCGUGCCAGCAGCCGCGGUAAUACGGAGGAUCCGAGCGUUAUCCGGAAUUAUUGGGUUUAAAGGGUUCGUAGGCGGCUUUGUAAGUCAGUGGUGAAAUUUCCUAGCUUAACUAGGACACUGCCAUUGAUACUGCAGAGCUUGAAUAGUAUGGAAGUAACUAGAAUAUGUAGUGUAGCGGUGAAAUGCUUAGAUAUUACAUGGAAUACCAAUUGCGAAGGCAGGUUACUACGUAUUUAUUGACGCUGAUGAACGAAAGCGUGGGGAGCGAACAGGAUUAGAUACCCUGGUAGUCCACGCCGUAAACGAUGGAUACUAGCUGUUCGGUUUUCGGACUGAGUGGCUAAGCGAAAGUGAUAAGUAUCCCACCUGGGGAGUACGUUCGCAAGAAUGAAACUCAAAGGAAUUGACGGGGGCCCGCACAAGCGGUGGAGCAUGUGGUUUAAUUCGAUGAUACGCGAGGAACCUUACCAGGGCUUAAAUGUAGAUUGACAGAUUUGGAAACAGAUUUUUCUUCGGACAAUUUACAAGGUGCUGCAUGGUUGUCGUCAGCUCGUGCCGUGAGGUGUCAGGUUAAGUCCUAUAACGAGCGCAACCCCUAUUGUUAGUUACCAGCGCGUAGUGGCGGGGACUCUAGCAAGACUGCCGGUGCAAACCGUGAGGAAGGUGGGGAUGACGUCAAAUCAUCACGGCCCUUACGUCCUGGGCUACACACGUGCUACAAUGGCAAGUACAGAAAGCAGCUACCUGGCAACAGGAUGCGAAUCUCCAAAGCUUGUCUCAGUUCGGAUUGGAGUCUGCAACUCGACUCUAUGAAGCUGGAAUCGCUAGUAAUCGGAUAUCAGCCAUGAUCCGGUGAAUACGUUCCCGGGCCUUGUACACACCGCCCGUCAAGCCAUGGAAGC